UAUUAUUAACCAGGCUUUGUGCUAUGAAAUGCUAUCUCAUGAAUAUGCAAAUAACCUGAGAUCCACUGAGGUAAAUUUGGAUGUCUGUGCCCUGAGAGCAUCACCCAACAACCACAUCCCUCCUCUAUAGAAGCCCCUGAGAACACAGCUCCUCACCAUGGACUGUACCUGGGGGAUCCGCUUCUUGGUGGCAGCUGCCACAGGUGUCCAUUCCCAGGUUCAGCUGUUGCAGCCUGGGGCUGAGGUGAAGAAGCCUGGGUCCUCAGUGAAGGUCUCCUGCCAGGCUUCCAGAUACACCUUCACCAAAUACUUUACACGGUGGGUGUGACAAAGCCCUGGACAAGGGCAUAGUGGAUGGGAUGAAUCAACCCUUACAAUGAUAACACACACUAUGCACAGACGUUCUGGGGCAGAGUCACCAUUACCAGUGACAGGUCCAUGAGCACAGCCUACAUGGAGCUGAGCAGCCUGAGAUCUGAAGACAUGGUCGUGUAUUACUGUGUGAGAGACACAGUGCAAAAACCCACAUCCUGAGAGUGUCAGAAACCCCAGGAAGGAGACACCUGUGCUGACACAGAGGAGAUGACAAAGAUUAUUAGAUUAAAGAUUUGCUUAGAAAAUGACAUUAAGUCAUUAAAGAAAAGGAACAAUAUUAAUGUGUAUUUGAGAAAUUUUAAUUAUUUGAGAGAUUUUUCAUACAACAUUUAUUCUGUAAACAAAUUUCAAUGAUUAGAGAAUGAAUCAAAUUAAUGAAACUAAUAUAGAACUUCCUCUGAAGGUAUCUCUGUAAACAUUAAUUUCUUAAUCAGUGCUGUAAGUAUUUUGGAAUACAGACACAAAAUCACAUUUUAAGUCUGCAUUUAUAUCUAUUAAAAAUGCCAAAAAAAUUUCCUUUUGUGCGUGUAGCAUUUUGAAUUCCCACCAUCAAUGCACGAUAGUUCUUGGUUUUCCACAUUCAUAUUGCCAUGUAUCCUUAUGAGAGUUGUGUGUUUUAACCAAUCUAGUAGGUGAAUAAUGGGAUCUAAUUUUUAUUUAAAUGCACAUGUCCCUCAAAAAGUUCAUAUUUAACAAUUUUCCAAUAACUUUUGUUGAGAUGCCUCUCCUGAUAUUUGGUUCAUUUUAACUGCAUUGCUUUGUUUUGAUUCAUUGUAAGUUUACUUGCAUAUUGUUUAUAAAAGUCACUUAACAAAUUAAAAGAAUUCAUUUAACAAA